rnacentral:rRNA from 1 species
CACCAAAGUUAAGCAUCGUAGAGCCAGGUCAGUACUUAGAUGGGGGACCGCUUGGGAACACCUGGUACUGUAAG